AUUGAACGCUGGCGGCAGGCUUAACACAUGCAAGUCGAGCGGUAACAGAGAGAAGCUUGCUUCUCUGCUGACGAGCGGCGGACGGGUGAGUAAUGCCUAGGAAUCUGCCUAGUAGUGGGGGAUAACUUGCCGAAAGGUAAGCUAAUACCGCAUACGUCCUACGGGAGAAAGGAGGGGACCUUCGGGCCCUUCGCUAUUAGAUGAGCCUAGGUCGGAUUAGUUAGUUGGUGAGGUAAUGGCUCACCAAGACCGCGAUCCGUAACUGGUCUGAGAGGAUGAUCAGUCACACUGGAACUGAGACACGGGCCAGACUCCUACGGGAGGCAGCAGUGGGGAAUAUUGGACAAUGGGGCGAACCCUGAUCCAGCCAUGCCGCGUGUGUGAAGAAGGUCUUAGGAUUGUAAAGCACUUUAAGUUGGGAGGAAGAGCAGUUAACUAAUAUUUGACUGUUUUGACGUUACCGACAGAAUAAGCACCGGCUAACUUCGUGCCAGCCGCCGCAGUAA
rnacentral:rRNA from 1 species